UUUCGGCCAUAUUACGUUGAAACACCGAUUCCUGUACAAUCACAGAAGUUAAGCAACGUUGAGGCAGGUCAGUACCGAGAUAGGUGACCGCUCGGGAAUACCAGGUGUUGUAAG